rnacentral:rRNA from 1 species
UACGUAGGGGGCUAGCGUUGUCCGGAAUCAUUGGGCGUAAAGAGCGUGUAGGCGGCUCGGUAAGUCCGCUGUGAAAGUCCAGGGCUCAACCCCUGGAAAUGCCAGUGGAAAACUGUCGAGCUAGAGUCCGGAAGAGGCGAGUGGAAUUCCUGGUGUAGCGGUGAAAUGCGCAGAUAUCAGGAGGAACACCAAUGGCGAAGGCAGCUCGCUGGGACGGUACUGACGCUGAGACGCGAAAGCGUGGGGAGCAAACAGG